GACGAACGCUGGCGGCGUGCCUAAUACAUGCAAGUCGAGCGAACGGACGAGAAGCUUGCUUCGCGGACGUUAGCGGCGGACGGGUGAAACACACGUGUAUAACCUACCUGUAAGUCGGGUAUAUCUUCGGGACACGGGCGAUAACACCGGAUGAGAUCUUGCACCGCGGGGUGCAUAAGAGAGAGACGGUGUUGCUGUCACUAAUAGAUGGAUCCGCGCUGCAUUAGCUAGUUGGUGAGGUAACGGCUUACCAAGGCAACGAUGCAUAGCCGACCUGUGAGGGUGAUCGGCCACACUGGAACUGAGCCACGGUCCAGACUCCUACGGGAGGCAGCAGUAGGGAAUCUUCCGCAAUGGGCGAAAGCCUGACGGAGCAACGCCGCGUGAGUGAUGAAGGUCUUCGGAUCGUAAAACUCUGUUAUUAGGGAAGAACAUAUGUGUAAGUAACUGUGCACAUCUUGACGGUACCUAAUCAGAAAGCCACGGCUAACUACGUG
rnacentral:rRNA from 1 species